UACGUAGGUCGCGAGCGUUGUCCGGAUUUACUGGGCGUAAAGGGAGCGUAGGCGGACUUUUAAGUGAGAUGUGAAAUACCCGGGCUCAACUUGGGUGCUGCAUUUCAAACUGGAAGUCUAGAGUGCAGGAGAGGAGAAUGGAAUUCCUAGUGUAGCGGUGAAAUGCGUAGAGAUUAGGAAGAACACCAGUGGCGAAGGCGAUUAUCUGGACUGUAACUGACGCUGAGGCUCGAAAGCGUGGGGAGCAAACAGGAUUAGAUACCCCGGUAGU
rnacentral:rRNA from 1 species